rnacentral:rRNA from 1 species
GAUGAACGCUGGCGGCGUGCUUAACACAUGCAAGUCGAACGCUGAAGCUCAGCUUUUGUUGGGUGGAUGAGUGGCGAACGGGUGAGUAACACGUGAGUAACCUGCCUCCUUCUUUGGGAUAACGCCCGGAAACGGGUGCUAAUACUGGAUAUUCACUGGUCUUCGCAUGGGGGUUGGUGGAAAGGGUUUUUCUGGUGGGGGAUGGGCUCGCGGCCUAUCAGCUUGUUGGUGGGGUGAUGGCCUACCAAGGCUUUGACGGGUAGCCGGCCUGAGAGGGUGACCGGUCACAUUGGGACUGAGAUACGGCCCAGACUCCUACGGGAGGCAGCAGUGGGGAAUAUUGCACAAUGGGCGCAAGCCUGAUGCAGCGACGCCGCGUGAGGGAUGGAGGCCUUCGGGUUGUGAACCUCUUUCGCUCAUGGUCAAGCCGCAACAAUGGUUGUGGUGAGGGUAGUGGGUAAAGAAGCGCCGGCUAACUACGUG